CGGAAUUUAAAACGAUAUUGCCCCAUUGCACCUGGGUCCAUCCUAGACACGUGGAUGAAACUAGCUGAUGGCCUACUGCACCUGGGUCCCAUUCUAGACAUGUGGCUGGAAACUACCCGAAUGCCUGCAACCAGGUGUCAAUAAAUGAGUUCUAAAUCCACUUUAACCUGUAGAUCGGCAGAGGAAAUGCCAAUAAACUUUUUCCACCCUGUUUUUGAUGAAUGCCAGCCUCAAUGGGGUAAGUGUCCAUCUUUUUAACCAAAAAUGCUUUGCAACACGGCAUGCAGCGACUUUAGAGGAUUAACGUUUCACAGAGAAUUUUGUUCUUUUGUUGAGGGGACAAAUAAAAAAGCAAGUUUGGCUGUCCUACAAGACGGGAGUUAGGCAGCAAAAGUGCAGCUAAAAAGCGAUGGGUGCGAAGCCAGCUGUGGUCAGGGGAGGAGCCUCCUUAUGGGAUGGGGGGCGU
rnacentral:lncRNA from 1 species